rnacentral:lncRNA from 1 species
GUUCAAUUGUGGCUAUAAAAAGUAUUCCUGAAGCAAGUCAUGGGGAGGUGACUUAAAACAAUGAUGGAAAAGGAGGAGAAGAUCCUGACAUUUCUUCAGUGAUCUUGAAUGGAGAAGGAUGACCCAUUACGGUGCUGAAAGUGGUCUGAACUGAUGGAUGACCCAGGCUGGGGUGCAGAGAUUAGCCCUUUACUAGGCUAUAGUUCUUGGAUAUUUCCUUCUCUUGUAAAAGUACAGAGUUCCUGCAUCAUCGCAUGUCAUCGUCUCAGCCAACGUGGGCAGAAUAUGUCACUUCCAGGAAGAUGAGCCACUCACAGGAAUGGGACAUCUAGUU